GUUGGUGAACCAGCGGAGGGAUCAUUACCGAGUUCUAAACUCACCAACCCACUGUGAACAUACCUACGUUGCUUCGGCGGCGGGCUUCGGCCCCCGCCGGGGACCCAAAAACACUAUUUUUAACCGAUACCUCUGAGUAACCAAAAAAUAAAUCAAAACCUUUAACAACGGAUCUCUUGGCUCUG
rnacentral:misc_RNA from 1 species